rnacentral:rRNA from 1 species
AGUGAACGCUGGCGGUAGGCCUAACACAUGCAAGUCGAACGGCAGCACAGUAAGAGCUUGCUCUUACGGGUGGCGAGUGGCGGACGAGUGAGGAAUACAUCGGAAUCUACUUUUUCGUGGGGGAUAACGUAGGGAAACUUACGCUAAUACCGCAUACGACCUACGGGUGAAAGCAGGGGAUCUUCGGACCUUGCGCGAUUGAAUGAGCCGAUGUCGGAUUAGCUAGUUGGCGGGGUAAAGGCCCACCAAGGCGACGAUCCGUAGCUGGUCUGAGAGGAUGAUCAGCCACACUGGUACUGAGACACGGUCCAGACUCCUACGGGAGGCAGCAGUGGGGAAUAUUGGACAAUGGGCGCAAGCCUGAUCCAGCCAUACCGCGUGGGUGAAGAAGGCCUUCGGGUUGUAAAGCCCUUUUGUUGGGAAAGAAAAGCAGCAGGUUAAUACCCCGCUGCUCUGACGGUACCCAAAGAAUAAGCACCGGCUAACUUCGUG